AUGGCUCCUUCUGUUAAGUCUUGCAACACACAUGGCCUUACCAGGGCCUGGCAAAUUAUCUGGCUGGGAGAACCCGGAUCGAGGACUCCAAGAGUGAGUUGGUCAUCUCUGAGGUCUUCAUCGGCCAGUCAACCUUUGUGGGCAUCGUCCCUCUUGCCAUGUGAAUCUUUCCUACAGAUGAUCCAGCAACAAAAAGCAUGGAGCUGCAAUGAAUGGAGACCACAAAUCUUACGGGAGAAUUGAUUCAGGCAGGGUUGGAGGGACAGUCAUCUAUGGCCCAGGUCAAAAAACUAAAGCCCAAGGCCAAAUCUGGUCCACCAUGUUUCUGUGAAUAAAGUGUUAUGGGACUGAUAUGGUUUGGCUCUGCCUUCCCAUUGAAAUCUCAUCUCAAAUUGCAAUCCCCAUGU